rnacentral:rRNA from 1 species
GAUGAACGCUGGCGGCGUGCUUAACACAUGCAAGUCGAACGGAAAGGCCCAAGCUUGCUUGGGUACUCGAGUGGCGAACGGGUGAGUAACACGUGGGUGAUCUGCCCUGCACUUCGGGAUAAGCCUGGGAAACUGGGUCUAAUACCGGAUAGGACCACAUUUUGGAUGGUGUGGUGGAAAGUUUUUCGGUGUGGGAUGAGCUCGCGGCCUAUCAGCUUGUUGGUGGGGUAAUGGCCUACCAAGGCGUCGACGGGUAGCCGGCCUGAGAGGGUGUACGGCCACAUUGGGACUGAGAUACGGCCCAGACUCCUACGGGAGGCAGCAGGGGGGAAUAUUGCACAAUGGGCGCAAGCCUGAUGCAGCGACGCCGCGUGGGGGAUGACGGCCUUCGGGUUGUAAACUCCUUUCGCUAGGGACGAAGCGUUAUGUGACGGUACCUGGAGAAGAAGCACCGGCUAACUACGUG